rnacentral:rRNA from 1 species
UACGUAGGAUCCAAGCGUUGUCCGGAUUUACUGGGUGUAAAGGGUGCGCAGGCGGUCUUGUAAGUCAGGGGUGAAAUCUCACAGCUCAACUGUGAAACUGCCUUUGAUACUGCAAGUCUUGGAUCCAGAAGAGAGUUGUGGAAUUCCGAGUGUAGCAGUGAAAUGUGUAGAUAUUCGGAAGAACACCAGUGGCGAAGGCAGCAACUUGGUCUGGUAUCGACGCUCAGGCACGAAAGCAUGGGGAUCAAACAGG